GUAUUAAAGGUGACGCCUGCCCAGUGAUCUAUUUUAACGGCCGCGGGAUCCUUCACCGUGCAAAGGUAGCAUAAUCACUUGUCCUCUAAAUAAGGACUAGUAUGAAUGGCCACAUGAGGGUUUACCUGUCUCUUGCAAUCAAUCAGUGAAACUAAUAUCUUAGUACAAAAGCUAAAAUAAAACCAUAAGACGAAAAGACCCUGUGGAACUUUCAAACGACAGACAACCUAUNUCUCCCUCACUUUUAGUUGGGGCAACUUUGGAAAAAAACACAACUUCCACUAACUUYAAGGUGGACACACCUACUNAUCCCAUUAUUGACCCAGUAUUACUGAUUAAAGAACCAAGCUACCCCAGGGAUAACAGCGCUACCCCCUCUUAGAGCCCCCAUCGAUGAGGGGGUUUACGACCUCGAUGUUGGAUCAGGGCCCCCAAACAGUGCAGAAGCUGUUAACGGUUUGUUUGUUCAACAAUUAAUGCCCUACGUGAUCUGAGUUAAG
rnacentral:rRNA from 1 species